rnacentral:sRNA from 1 species
GCUGGGUGUGGUGGCACAUGCCUGUAAUCCCAGCAGGUUGGGAGGCUGAGACAGGAGGAUUUUUGAGUUCAAAGCCAGACUCAGCAAUUUAGCAAAACCCUAAGCAACUCAGUGAGACUCUGUCUCUA